UCGAAUGUGCGCAGCGGAGCUUGGAGAAUCGCACUACUGGCUGCUAGCUCAAAUCCCUCCCCUCGUGCUCGCUGGUUCGGUGGCUUAGCACCCCCCAUUCCCUCCUUCUCCUCCCGGUGCACACAGCGGGAAUAUGAGAGGGACACCUUGUCACCUUGAAAGAGGAAGCUCCAUGCAGAGGGAGGCCCGGUCUAUGUGGAAAUACUGAAACCCUCAUCUUAAGGACAAGGCAAUGCUGAUGAUUGUGCAACAUGUGUGGAAUGUUAUUGUUUGGUUGACAGUUGUCAGAAGAAAAUGCGUCCUGUCAUGCAUACAUUACUGAGAAGCAACUGAUACAUGUAGCAUGUCCAUUCAACUCACGUGUUAAUUACUUUUUAACCAACUGUGGAGGUGUGCUUGUCCUGCUCUCAGACACAUUAUGUCCAACAUGGUUAACAUCUGUACUUGACAGGAGACAGAUUGAGGUAGUUGGUCUCAAAAUAUUCCAUUUCUAAUGGCUUCAUUCUAAAGCUAUUAGUUACAAAUUCAAUCUGCUAUUGUUUUACAAAUUCAAUCUACUGUUUUUAUCAUCACUGCGUGAUGAACACCUUAAUACAGU